UACAUAGGGGGCAAGCGUUAUCCGGAAUUAUUGGGCGUAAAGGGUGCGUAGGUGGUUAUUUAAGUCUUUGGUGUAAGUGCAGUGCUUAACGCUGUGAUGCUAAAGAAACUGGGUAACUUGAGUGUGGUAGAGGCAAGUGGAAUUCCAUGUGUAGCGGUAAAAUGCGUAAAUAUAUGGAGGAACACCAGUGGCGAAGGCGGCUUGCUGGGCCACAACUGACACUGAGGCACGAAAGCGUGGGGAGCAAACAGG
rnacentral:rRNA from 1 species